ensembl:lncRNA
CUCCCGGGAGGUCCCGGUCCUUGCAGCCCGCGGCCGCGUUCUUGGCCCUACUCCAGGGGAACCUCGAUUUUUCAAACUCGGGAAGGCCGGCUGUCCUUCGGCUACUGAUAAGGACGCAAGCGCCGGGUAAAAGAUUUUAACAAUGCCCGGAAAGAAAUAGUCGGACCCAAGAAAGAGACUAAUAAUAGCCGCCAGCUAGAGUUCUGCUCCUGUGCUCAGCGGUCUUAAGAACAAUAAUAACGACAACAACCACAAUAGCCACCAUUUAUUGAGCGCUUACUCUGUGCCAGGCACUGUGUUAAGCGCUUUGCAGGCAACAACCCUCGGAGGUUUUCCCUGUCCCUGAACUGCUCGUUUGGUCACCUUUUGAGAGAAAAGAACACUGAUCCCAUUAAAAGGCCCUGUUGUUUGCCAGAUGAGGUCACCAGACUGGUAAGUAGCAAGGCUGGGACUCCACUAGGAAUAUCUGACUUUAAAAGCCAUGUUCCUGUCACCCAGAAUGCACAUGCUGAUGCAGCUGAACAGAAGAGCUUUAAAGGUUGGCUUCUGGAGGAUUUUCCUGUUCUCAGAUGUCAGACACACAUCCUCCCUCAGACCCCUUACUUUUCCAGAAGUUUGCUCUGGGAAUUCAGUCAAGGUGAGGCAAUGGUUGAUGAUAUCACUAGGCUUGUUUGAAGAGAUUGACAGGCCAGCUCUGGAAUCACCAACUGGAGGUUUUUCCAAACUGGGAAACCAAGGCAGAAGGGACUUCAUGAGACUUGUCACUAACAGUUCUGAUUCUCUCGCCCUAUGUCUUUGAACUAGAAGGAUUCCCCUCUUACCCAACACAAGAGAGACCUGAAUAUCCCAGGCUGCCUCUUGCAAAAUUCUUGGACCUCUUCGACCUUCCUCGCUGCUGCUUCCCUCAUUCUUUCAGUGCGUUCAUUCUACAAACAUGCCUCAAGGGCGCAUGAUGUGUAGAUCCUAGUGGCAGAGCAGAGAACCUAACAUGAGCUCAGAAGCUUACUUUCUCCCAUUCCCUCCUGGUUUCUAACCUCAUGGCUUCAACUUCCACACCUGGAGAGGUCCUAUGAUGGUAAAUGACUUGCUUCUCCAGGUAAGGACUGCUGCUCAGACAUACCUGACAUUCCACCAGCUCCUUCGGCAGCUCUCUGAGAUCAUACCCUGGGACCCUGACACCACAGCGAUGACACCGAUUUGGUAGAAGGUUUGGGUCCUGAGAUACCUUCAGAAGCAGGGCUCAGAAAUGCUCCAGCUCCAGCAUUUGCCCUUGCUCCUCCCCAUCCCUUUCCAGUUGUCACUCCUUCAGUUUAUAAGAUCGCUGUUGUCCAAAAUAGCACAGGCUAUAUUUAUGAAGCAUCUAUUAUGAUGAAAAAUCCCGUAGUGCCAUAAUACCCUACUGUCCAAAGGAAAAUGUUGGCUUAAACAAACAACAGUGACUAUCUGGCAAAGUGAUGUGUGGGAUAAUGCUUAUGAGUCUUUUGGGUCAUUUUUUUUUUUUUUAUUGAAUCUUGGGACUGAGUGAUUCAUAAUAACGAGAGGAAGGAAGAACACUAGGCCUGUUUUAGCUUUCAAGAUUAUUCAAAUGGAAUAGAUUUUCACCAUCAACACCCUAGCAAAGACAGAAUGCUUAAGGUAAAUUGCCAGUUUUUGUCUUUUUGGAAAAUCCAUUAAUACUGAAUGAUCUUGGUUUUAAUCCAUUCC